AAACUUACCUGCGGGGAUGAUCCCAGGAUCAUGAAGAUCGUAGGAGAUGCUUAGCCAUUGUUCCCUGGAUGUGGGAGUCCCUGUCAGUUCCCCAGAUGUGGCAAUAAUGCCAUCAUCUAUGGGUGUGUGGCGCUGUUCUCACUCUCUCCCU
rnacentral:snRNA from 1 species